rnacentral:misc_RNA from 1 species
GUGGCUACGCCACCGACGAGGUAAUAUAAAGACUGACAGCCCUAGGUAAAUUUUCGUAUCAACCAAGGAACCCGAAAGGGCCCAGAGGUAAUUGAAGAGCGAUGAUAAUACCGACUGAUUUAGCUACGCCCAAGAUAAUAUAGCUAGCAACUAUUGCCGAUGCACGGCGAGGGGAAGAUAACACGUCGCUAUUCAUGUUUUAUCUCGCCGCUUCUAUGUCUCUCGACGCACGUCGCCAGCAGUUAUUGAAUCGAGGCCACGCUGUGACUCGAACGGCUGCGACGCUUCUCCAAUCAUUCAUCCCGGCGCACGCUUACUCGUUAGAAUUCUCGAAUGCAGAUAACGCAUUCAAAUAAAUAGCAAAGAAAAAUGUAGAUAAAGCAGUUGCAAGCUGUAGUACUGGAAACGAUACUUUAGAAGUAAAA